rnacentral:rRNA from 1 species
UACGUAGGGUGCAAGCGUUAAUCGGAAUUACUGGGCGUAAAGCGUGCGCAGGCGGUUGUGCAAGACCGAUGUGAAAUCCCCGGGCUUAACCUGGGAAUGGCAUUGGUGACUGCACGGCUAGAGUGUGUCAGAGGGGGGUAGAAUUCCACGUGUAGCAGUGAAAUGCGUAGAUACUGGGAGGAACACCAGUGGCGAAGGCGGCUACCUGGACCGGUUCUGACGCUGAUGCGCGAAAGCGUGGGUAGCAAACAGG